GCCCAAGUGGCGGAAUUGGCAGACGCGCCGCACUCAAAAUGCGGUAUGGAAACAUGUGUGGGUUCGAGUCCCACCUUGGGCACCA
rnacentral:tRNA from 1 species